GCGGGCUGCUGAAUUAGAGAUCGGCACCCAUACAUUCAUUUUUUUACUGGAGUUUAUUAUGUCUCUAAGCGUAGAAGCUAAAGCAGAGAUCGUUGCUAAAUAUGGUCGUGGCGCU
rfam:Pantoea sp. PSNIH1, complete genome.